CAUGGGCAGGUUGAAGGUUGGGUAACACUAACUGGAGGACCGAACCGACUAAUGUUGAAAAAUUAGCGGAUGACCUGUGGCUGGGGGUGAAAGGCCAAUCAAACCGGGAGAUAGCUGGUUCUCCCCGAAAGCUAUUUAGGUAGCGCCUCGUGAAUUCAUCUCCGGGGGUAGAGCACUGUUUCGGCUAGGGGGCCAUCCCGGCUUACCAACCCGAUGCAAACUGCGAAUACCGGAGAAUGUUAUCACGGGAGACACACGGCGGGUGCUAACGUCCGUCGUGAAGAGGGAAACAACCCAGACCGCCAGCUAAGGUCCCAAAGUCAUGGUUAAGUGGGAAACGAUGUGGGAAGGCCCAGACAGCCAGGAUGUUGGCUUAGAAGCAGCCAUCAUUUAAAGAAAGCGUAAUAGCUCACUGGUCGAGUCGGCCUGCGCGGAAGAUGUAACGGGGCUAAACCAUGCACCGAAGCUGCGGCAGCGACACUGUGUGUUGUUGGGUAGGGGAGCGUUCUGUAAGCCUGUGAAGGUGUGUCGUGAGGCAUGCUGGAGGUAUCAGAAGUGCGAAUGCUGACAUAAGUAACGAUAAAGCGGGUGAAAAGCCCGCUCGCCGGAAGACCAAGGGUUCCUGUCCAACGUUAAUCGGGGCAGGGUGAGUCGACCCCUAAGGCGAGGCCGAAAGGCGUAGUCGAUGGGAAACGGGUUAAUAUUCCCGUACUUGGUGUUACUGCGAAGGGGGGACGGAGAAGGCUAUGUUGGCCGGGCGACGGUUGUCCCGGUUUAAGCGUGUAGGUGUGUGUUCCAGGUAAAUCCGGUUCACUUUAACACUGAGGCGUGACGACGAGGCACUACGGUGCUGAAGCAACAAAUGCCCUGCUUCCAGGAAAAGCCUCUAAGCAUCAGGUAACAUCAAAUCGUACCCCAAACCGACACAGGUGGUCAGGUAGAGAAUACCAAGGCGCUUGAGAGAACUCGGGUGAAGGAACUAGGCAAAAUGGUGCCGUAACUUCGGGAGAAGGCACGCUGACACGUAGGUGAAGUGAUUUACUCAUGGAGCUGAAGUCAGUCGAAGAUACCAGCUGGCUGCAACUGUUUAUUAAAAACACAGCACUGUGCAAACACGAAAGUGGACGUAUACGGUGUGACGCCUGCCCGGUGCCGGAAGGUUAAUUGAUGGGGUCAGCGCAAGCGAAGCUCCUGAUCGAAGCCCCGGUAAACGGCGGCCGUAACUAUAACGGUCCUAAGGUAGCGAAAUUCCUUGUCGGGUAAGUUCCGACCUGCACGAAUGGCGUAAUGAUGGCCAGGCUGUCUCCACCCGAGACUCAGUGAAAUUGAACUCGCUGUGAAGAUGCAGUGUACCCGCGGCAAGACGGAAAGACCCCGUGAACCUUUACUAUAGCUUGACACUGAACAUUGAGCCUUGAUGUGUAGGAUAGGUGGGAGGCUUUGAAGUGUGGACGCCAGUCUGCAUGGAGCCGACCUUGAAAUACCACCCUUUAAUGUUUGAUGUUCUAACGUGGACCCGUUACCCGGGUUGCGGACAGUGUCUGGUGGGUAGUUUGACUGGGGCGGUCUCCUCCUAAAGAGUAACGGAGGAGCACGAAGGUUGGCUAAUCCUGGUCGGACAUCAGGAGGUUAGUGCAAUGGCAUAAGCCAGCUUGACUGCGAGCGUGACGGCGCGAGCAGGUGCGAAAGCAGGUCAUAGUGAUCCGGUGGUUCUGAAUGGAAGGGCCAUCGCUCAACGGAUAAAAGGUACUCCGGGGAUAACAGGCUGAUACCGCCCAAGAGUUCAUAUCGACGGCGGUGUUUGGCACCUCGAUGUCGGCUCAUCACAUCCUGGGGCUGAAGUAGGUCCCAAGGGUAUGGCUGUUCGCCAUUUAAAGUGGUACGCGAGCUGGGUUUAGAACGUCGUGAGACAGUUCGGUCCCUAUCUGCCGUGGGCGCUGGAGAACUGAGGGGGGCUGCUCCUAGUACGAGAGGACCGGAGUGGACGCAUCACUGGUGUUCGGGUUGUCAUGCCAAUGGCACUGCCCGGUAGCUAAAUGCGGAAGAGAUAAGUGCUGAAAGCAUCUAAGCACGAAACUUGCCCCGA
rnacentral:rRNA from 1 species